GAUGAACGCUGGCGGCGUGCCUAAUACAUGCAAGUCGAGCGAACAGACGAGGAGCUUGCUCCUCUGACGUUAGCGGCGGACGGGUGAGUAACACGUGGAUAACCUACCUAUAAGACUGGGAUAACUUCGGGAAACCGGAGCUAAUACCGGAUAAUAUAUUGAACCGCAUGGUUCAAUAGUGAAAGACGGUUUUGCUGUCACUUAUAGAUGGAUCCGCGCCGCAUUAGCUAGUUGGUAAGGUAACGGCCUACCAAGGCAACGAUGCGUAGCCGACCUGAGAGGGUGAUCGGCCACACUGGAACUGAGACACGGUCCAGACUCCUACGGGAGGCAGCAGUAGGGAAUCUUCCACAAUGGGCGAAAGCCUGACGGAGCAACACCGCGUGAGUGAUGAAGGUCUUCGGAUCGUAAAACUCUGUUAUUAGGGAAGAACAAAUGUGUAAGUAACUAUGCACGUCUUGACGGUACCUAAACAGAAAGCCACGGCUAACUACGUG
rnacentral:rRNA from 1 species